ACUGAGCCCAGGCAGGUGCAUUGAGAAGGGAGGCUGGUCGGGUAGGAUCUGGCCAGGUAGGGCUCCCGUGCCUGGUCUAAAGGGGAUAAAUGCUAAUGUGCUCUGGGCUCGGUAGCCAUGCAACACCAGUGUCACCUACAUCUGAAUUUCCAGGAGAGGCUUGGGAUACGCUUGUUUAUCUGACAUCUUCUGAAUUUUAACACCGAGAACCAAGUCCCCCCAAACUGAAACACACCAGAGGCCAAACACUGCCCAGUUCACUGGCACCAUUUUAGAUCCCUGCUCUCCUGUGCUAAUCAGGAUUGAGGCAGGAUUUCAACAUGCCAAGAGGAGAGAAAAGAGAGGGCUCAUUUGUUAGGCACGAUCCUGAUGCUGGAGGCCAAGAGACUUGGGUUCCUGUCCCAACUCUUUGACCAACUCCUCUGUAUGUCACUGGGCCAGCUUCCAGCACCCCUUCUCCAGGCCUCUUUGAGGAGGGACUGGGACAAGGUGAAUUCCAAGCACUCAGCCACCUCCAGUUUGGCAUGCUGUGCCCUCAGCUGAUGGAAACCAUUCAAUGCCUAAGAGGUGUUUUCUGGGAAUCAGAGGCGACCCUGAGUUAAUGGUUCAGGAAUUUAGGGGAGGGCAGUCCCUCUCGAAUUGCAGGUGAUUUCUCCUGAGGAAUCUCCCUAACCUCCAGAAGGAAACAGAACUGAUAAACGGAAGGCCCAGUGAAACCCCUGUGAUAUGGUCACCUGUGUUCCCACCGCCUCCUCACAGUGAGCCUAGAAGGCAGGUGCCCUUGUCCAUCUCUUCGUCUGCAUUUUGAAGAUGAGGCACGGGAGGCUCAGAAGCAUUAAGCAUCUUACCCAAGGUCACACAGCAAGGAAAAAGCCAAGAGAAGGUCACAGUAAACUGAGGCUGGUCUGUGUCAGGAAUAGCUGGGCCACUUAUUUCUAGGCAAUAAAAUCCCGAAUACUGCAGGAAGAGAGGGUGUAUCAAAAAUGGGCCAUUUUCAGCAUCUUUGUACACUCUGCUGUUUCUACAACUUCCUUGGCCACACAAAGACAGAUGAGCAGCAGCUCUGCCUUAGGCUUGUUUUAACAAGGUCAACCCCAUCCUGGACCAUAUUUCUGUCAUUUUGAAAGACUCUUUAACCAAGUAGCCGACCCUCCUUCUACAGUUGUUGUUUUUAAAUCAGAUUCAUUACCUGCAAAGAAAAAUGGCUUUUUCUCCUUUCUCCUUGAUGGUAUUUUCUUUCAGAACCCCAGAUGUGGGAAAAGACAGGAUAUUGACUGUGUUUAUCUAGCAAGUGCAGGGGCCAAGCCUGCUGGGCCACCCUCAUCCUGGAAGACAUCCUGACAUCAGAGGACAUGUAGCAAGUAUGCCUUUCUCCCCAGAGAAAGACAUUCCCCUGCGCACUGAGUGAACAAAUCUCUUUCUCCAGAACCACAUGCCUCAUGCAGCCAGAAAGAACUGGAGAAUCUCACACUGCUUUACCAGCAACAGAGAGUCACCGUCCACAGGACCCGAUCUCACUCCUUCAUGUGCAAUGCUCACCUGUGAACUUGGAAGUGGCAGAGACAUCUUCAUGGCCCUGACCUCAAGGUUUCUUAUUUAUAGUCACAUUCACCUGCUUUGAAUGACCUUUAGACCUGUUCCUGUUUUGCCUCUUUCCAGGGUUUCCCCCAAAGUUACUUGACAACAGUUGUGUUGGGGUUGGGAAGGGGGGCAGAGUUCACAACUUCCCCUGUGUUGUAGAUGAGAAACCUGACUCUCAGGGGACCAAGGGCUUGCCUGGGACUAUACAGCUGGUGAGGACAGAGCUGAGUUUGAAGUCCAGCUUCUGGACUCCCCUGGGUUGGGCCACCUGCCUUGCUGUGCCCCCUUCUCACCCCGACAUGAAGGCCGUGGGGGCUCCCUAUGGUCUGGAACCAAGGGGAUUCCGGUGAGGGUGGGCAGGAGAUGCCAGUCCUGGCUUUGAAGCCCAUGGCUACGCAAAAGCUACCCCUCCUGUCUCAGAGAGACAAGGUGUCAUGCCUGCAGCUCCCGGCUGUGGUCUGUGGAGCAAUACAGCCUGUAUCCCUGUGGGACAAUAUCUGAGGGCUGGACAUGAGGCCAGGAAGAAAAGGAGAGAGGAAAGAGAGGGAAAAGGACAGCUGUGGACUGAACUGUGUCCCUCCCCAACUCACAUGGAAGUUGUUGUGACUGCUUCCCUCACGUGACUGCAUUUGGAGACAGAGCCUUUAGGGAGGUCAUUAAAGAUGAGUGAUGUCAUAAGGGUGAGACCCUAAUCCAACAGGAUUGGUGGUCUUAAACCAAGAGGAAGAGAGCCCUCUGCCUCCCUGUCCUCUCUCUCCCCAUAGGCAUUGAGGAGAGGCUCUGUGAGGACUCAGUAGGAAGGUGGCCACCUGCAAGCCAAGGAGAAAAGUAAAAGUGUUGGUCGCUCAGUUGUGUCCGAUUCUUUGUGACCCAUGGACUGUAGCCUGCUGGGCUUCUCUGUUUGUGGGAUUCUCGGGGCAAGAAUACUGGAGUAGGUAGCCAUUCCCUUCUCCAGGGGAUCUUCCUGACCCAGGGAUCAAACCCAGGUCUCCCGCGUUGCAGACAGAUUCUUUACCAUCUAAGCAAGCCACAGAGAGCUCUUCCCGAAAUCAAAUCACUUGAAACCAUAUACUGGAUGUCAAGUCUCCAGAGUUGAGAGAAGUGAAUGUCUAUUGUUCACUUAACAGCCUGUAGUAAUUUUUUAUGGCCUCCCAAGCUGACUAAGACCAGCACAAACUGAAAGAAGAGGGAGAAAGCACAAUCUCACCGUGGCCAGCCACCACCAGGGCACACUACCCCACGCUCACCUCUCAGUUUCCACACCUGACCCCUCUCCCCGCCCCAGAAUCUCUUCCAUCUGCAGGAGGCCUAUUCCAUAGAGACCUGGGCUGAGACCUACCCCAGUCAGCCCAGGUCACCAUUUUACCUUAAAAACUUCCCUUGACGUGGGCAGAUUUCUCCCUCUUUGUUCCACUGUCCACCAGAGAAUGACCCUCGUGCCUUCCUCUGAUCUGGGUCGUGUGCCUUUCUCUUCAGUUUGUUCUAUCCUCCAAUAGAAGGUCGAGUAUAGGUCACCUUCUCACCAGAAGCUGACCCAUCGGGUAAGGACUCACUGCUGGGCGGUUGCCAGAAGUAUGGGUAUUGCAGACAGACUCCCAUAUCUGGGAACAGGCCAGCUCAGGUUUAGACCCCAGGCUCCCACGUGGCAACUGGGGAACUGUGACUCCAUGGUCCCAUCUCCUCCUCAUCCAUCUCGGGAGAGUGGUGCGAACAUGAAAGGAGGUGCUGGAAAGAUGCACCCCCUUUCAGUCCCCUUCUCACCAGGGCAGGAAGGGUCUGGGGCUUAAUGUCUCUGUCCAGACACCAGAAGGCCCUCAGAGAGAAUGGGAGCCCCGUGCUCCACCAACCUGACUGUAGAAUUAUUUGAGAAACUGCCAAGUCUCAAAUAUGCCACCCUCCUCCUCUCAUAGGUUGUCUAAUAACCCCUCUACCCACAAAUGGCUUCCUUGGUGGCUCAGAUGGUAAAGAACCUGCCUGCAAUGCAGAAGACCUAGGUCUGAUCCUUGGGUUGAGAAGAUCCCCUGGAGAAGGGAAUUUCAACCCACUCCAGUGUUCUUGUCUGGAGA
ensembl:lncRNA